ensembl:miRNA
CUUGGGUUCCUCCUUCUUCUCGUUUGCCUUUUUCUGCUUCUGCUGCAUGAUCUCCGAGUCCCUGGGGGUAGAGAUGAUGGGGCACU